rnacentral:lncRNA from 1 species
ACACAUAGACAGACACAAUACAGAUACACGCCUGAAGCGUAGCUUGGGCUUCUUCUUAACAAACACACGCAUAUACACAGAACAAUUCACGCAUGACAGAGAGGCUGGCAGCAGUACAAUUUUCGACAACCCCCCUGAUCGUGGUCUUCUCCAAACGAACCUUAAAGAUCUAAAAGCUGCAGUAGCAGCCAUAAGCCCAAAACCCCUGAGCUUUUCCUUAUUCCCUCUUCAUGUAGCAGCAACUAUAGUUGUUGACUCCUUCACCACCCACUCGUUGGAACACACACACACGCAGAAUUAAUGAAAGCUGGGAUUUCGAUUUUGCCUCUGAUUUUUGUCCUUACAAAGCUUCUGCUUGAGUUUGUUCAAUAGAAGUUUUCGAUCUCUGUUUCGAUCUCGGCUCAUGAAGUUUGAUUGAGGUCGUAUUUGGGUUUCGAGCUGUCCGUUAGCAAAUCCGAGGUAUUGAUUUGAGGUCCGUUGUUAAAUUCAAUCGCGGUUCCGUCCAGUUUUUGUUAAACGCUUUCAGAUUUCAGUUGGGAAAUAUAUCUCUAAGGUCAUCUCUUCUAUCCCACUAAGCUUCAAAUGAUAUACGGUUGUUUUUUUGUCUAAUUUUUAUCUCUGUUAUUCAAUGUCCAAAAUGGACUUAAACUUGGUUUGGUGUCUGAUUCUUAGUUCAUUUGUGUUCGUUACUCUAUGUUUUGGAAGUGAUUUGCGGGUUUGAUAAGAGGAAUGGGAGUUCAGCUAUUGUUAAUUUGCUUGUUUAAAGUUAUAACCACUACUAGAAAAGUAUCUAAAACAUCAUCGUAGUUUAAAUACUAGUGAAAAUAUAAUCACUUUGGAUUUGGAGUGGUAAAGAACGUCCUAGUUAUUCUCAACUGUUAUAGGAUAAUAAGAACCACGAUAAUAUAAGACAAUAUCAUAAUGUUCAUCAAGUCAUUAAUCCAUCAAAUCAUAAUUCUAUCACUUAAUAAUGUAUUCUUGAUGAUGACUCGCUUCCAUUAUUUUUUUGUUUUAUCUCUUGUUUCUGUAAGAAUUCAACGGGAAUUGUCG